GUGCACCAGGCGCGAAUCCUCCGCAAUACACGAAAGUGUGACGGGCCAUCCCGAGUGCCGUCCGCUGAGGACGGCUUUUCCCCAGUGUACAUAGCUGGGGGAAUAAGGAGAGGGCAAGCCUGGUGUCAGCCGCCGCGGUAACUACCAGCUCUCCGGAGUGGUGGGACGCUUAUUGGGCCUAAAGCAUCCGUAGCCGGCUAGGCAAGUCCUCCGUUAAAUCCAACGAUUCAAUCGUUGGGGCUGCGGGGGAUACUGUCCAGCUUGGGGGCGGAGAGGCCGACGGUAUUCCCGGGGUAGGGUGAAAGUCCUAUAA
rnacentral:rRNA from 1 species